CUAAGCAAUUUUUUAAAUUAAAUAAGAGUGAUGUUUUGAGAAUUCUUUUUUCUGCAUUACACAUUUGAAAUCAUUAUAAGUCAUUUUUGAGGAAUUGUGCAGUAGACCUGCAAACGAAUGCCUCUGUGUAAUAAAAUUUAGUACUAUGGUCAUCAAAGUACAUCCUAAAUUACAUAAAGCCUACAGACAUAUAAUCCAACUAAUGCUGCUAGAUUACAAUGCAGCCACAAUUUGAAUAUUCACAUUAGCACCAUGCUUAAAUAUAAGAGUGACUUCCAUCAAUAGAAUAUAAAACAAUUGAUAGAUACCUUUGCAUUACAGGCCAAGUUCCUAAAUAGGUGUCUACAUUCCAUAUAUCUAUUUGGCUCCACAGAUUGGGGAGCCCAGAUGGCUGUGUCUCCAGUGAAGCCAGAGACAAUAUAGCAAUCAGUUAAACAAUGCCACUAUUGCAACUACAGAGAUCCCCAGCAGACUUCUGCUUUUCUGCCAUCCUGGCUCAGAAGAGAUGCUAAGAUUGUACAGAGGAGUCCCAUGUGUACUGUACUCAGCUUCUUUGUAUAUAUAUGGAUUUUUUAAAGUUGGUUUUAAAGGACUUUGAGGAUUGUGCAAAAUUAGAGAGACUUGUAAUAUGAAUAAUAAAGUCCUAGAGAUAGACAUUGGGGUUCAAUCUUCAAGCUAAUGAUCAGAGAAGCAAAGAAGACAGCACCUACUCUUCCCUCUACCUCAGACUGGAAUGAGUGGCUCCAUGAAUCCUCAGAGUCCAAUGCUCUCCACCAAACCUCACACUGCAAUCCUACAUUGCUAUGCUCUCUUUGAUGUGGUUGGAGACUAAUUGCCUAAGACUGACUUUGCUUCUUCCUUAUAUACCUCUCUAGUUCUGGGAUUAAAGCUGCUGAAGGCUAUGCCUAGUUCCAUGAUCCUGCUACAGUUUGGGUCUGUGGUGAUUUCUAUGGCCCAUAUUACCAGGCUAGGACAUGCAAACCAUGCAUGUUGAAGCCUGAGGGCUGUACUGAGCAGUCCCUGCCUUUCUGUUGGCCCUGGGAGAUCUGACUCUGCACCUCCCUGGGAGAGAUAGCCCUGCCCUUCAUGGGACAGUUGAACCCCCUCCAUGUUAUGAGCACAGGAGAUCUGGCUCUAUUAUUUGCCUAAUGAGGGCAGUACCAUCAGAGGGACUAACUGACCAACUCAGCUACCACUCAGACUCACAUACAGUGUUGUGAGUUGGCCUACACCAAUAUAUACCACAUCUGUGACCUGCUGGAGUUGAUGAAGCAUCUGGUCUUGUGGAACCAUAGUUGCAGGAUUCCCCGUGACUCAGGCAACAGCAGGACAUCCAAGAAGAGUUUAGAUGAGGGUCCAGGACUGAGAGUAUAUCAGCAUCCCACGGUCUUGAAUCAGACCAGUACAAAGAACAUU